rnacentral:rRNA from 1 species
AUUGAACGCUGGCGGCAGGCUUAACACAUGCAAGUCGAGCGGGCGAGGUUGCUUCGGUAACUGAGCUAGUGGCGAACGGGUGAGUAAAGCAUCGGAACGUACCGUGUAGUGGGGGAUAACGUAGCGAAAGUUGCGCUAAUACCGCAUACGCACUGAGGUGGAAAGCAGGGGAUCGCAAGACCUUGCGCUAUACGAGCGGCCGAUGUCAGAUUAGCUAGUUGGUAGGGUAAAGGCCUACCAAGGCGACGAUCUGUAGCGGGUCUGAGAGGAUGAUCCGCCACACUGGGACUGAGACACGGCCCAGACUCCUACGGGAGGCAGCAGUGGGGAAUUUUGGACAAUGGGGGCAACCCUGAUCCAGCAAUGCCGCGUGAGUGAAGAAGGCCUUCGGGUUGUAAAGCUCUUUUGUCAGGGAAGAAACAGCAGCUCUAACACAGUCUGCGAAUGACGGUACCUGAAGAAUAAGCACCGGCUAACUACGUG